GAUAAACGCUGGCGGCGUGCCUAAUACAUGCAAGUCGAGCGAACGGACGAGAAGCUUGCUUCUCUGAUGUUAGCGGCGGACGGGUGAGUAACACGUGGAUAACCUACCUAUAAGACUGGGAUAACUUCGGGAAACCGGAGCUAAUACCGGAUAAUAUUUUGAACCGCAUGGUUCAAAAGUGAAAGACGGUCUUGCUGUCACUUAUAGAUGGAUCCGCGCUGCAUUAGCUAGUUGGUAAGGUAACGGCUUACCAAGGCAACGAUGCAUAGCCGACCUGAGAGGGUGAUCGGCCACACUGGAACUGAGACACGGUCCAGACUCCUACGGGAGGCAGCAGUAGGGAAUCUUCCGCAAUGGGCGAAAGCCUGACGGAGCAACGCCGCGUGAGUGAUGAAGGUCUUCGGAUCGUAAAACUCUGUUAUUAGGGAAGAACAUAUGUGUAAGUAACUGUGCACAUCUUGACGGUACCUAAUCAGAAAGCCACGGCUAACUACGUGCCAGCAGCCGCGGUAAUACGUAGGUGGCAAGCGUUAUCCGGAAUUAUUGGGCGUAAAGCGCGCGUAGGCGGUUUUUUAAGUCUGAUGUGAAAGCCCACGGCUCAACCGUGGAGGGUCAUUGGAAACUGGAAAACUUGAGUGCAGAAGAGGAAAGUGGAAUUCCAUGUGUAGCGGUGAAAUGCGCAGAGAUAUGGAGGAACACCAGUGGCGAAGGCGACUUUCUGGUCUGUAACUGACGCUGAUGUGCGAAAGCGUGGGGAUCAAACAGGAUUAGAUACCCUGGUAGUCCACGCCGUAAACGAUGAGUGCUAAGUGUUAGGGGGUUUCCGCCCCUUAGUGCUGCAGCUAACGCAUUAAGCACUCCGCCUGGGGAGUACGACCGCAAGGUUGAAACUCAAAGGAAUUGACGGGGACCCGCACAAGCGGUGGAGCAUGUGGUUUAAUUCGAAGCAACGCGAAGAACCUUACCAAAUCUUGACAUCCUUUGACAACUCUAGAGAUAGAGCCUUCCCCUUCGGGGGACAAAGUGACAGGUGGUGCAUGGUUGUCGUCAGCUCGUGUCGUGAGAUGUUGGGUUAAGUCCCGCAACGAGCGCAACCCUUAAGCUUAGUUGCCAUCAUUAAGUUGGGCACUCUAAGUUGACUGCCGGUGACAAACCGGAGGAAGGUGGGGAUGACGUCAAAUCAUCAUGCCCCUUAUAAUUUGGGCUACACACGUGCUACAAUGGACAAUACAAAGGGCAGCGAAACCGCGAGGUCAAGCAAAUCCCAUAAAGUUGUUCUCAGUUCGGAUUGUAGUCUGCAACUCGACUACAUGAAGCUGGAAUCGCUAGUAAUCGUAGAUCAGCAUGCUACGGUGAAUACGUUCCCGGGUCU
rnacentral:rRNA from 1 species